rnacentral:lncRNA from 1 species
UUCUUCGAAGAAAAAAACGAACAUAGUCUUAUUUUAGUGAAGAUAAAAUCAAAUUUCACUCAAAUAUUAAAAAAAUCACAAAAGAAAAAACACAAAUUUAAUAGCGUAAUUAUUACACAAAAAUCAAGAAACCAAACGAAAACAGUAUCGGUCAGACAACACGUAAUUUUGGGCCACCUGUCGAAGAAAGAAGUAAAAGCAGUCAGUCACUGGUAUGGCAAUUGCGUAGUAUGUCCUUUUGAUGGAAGCAGAAAACCGCAGCUGGCCUGACCCGUAGAGAGAGAUAUUAAUAUUUACGUGUAGCUUUGGACCACAACCCUACAAAAGCUACUUCAUCAAAUAGAAUGUACUGUACCAUAAAAAUAUCAUCAUAUCAUAUAACUUCAAUUAAGUAUUAAAUAUCAC